AUUGAACGCUGGCGGCAUGCUUUACACAUGCAAGUCGAACGGCAGCACGGGUGCUUGCACCUGGUGGCGAGUGGCGAACGGGUGAGUAAUAUAUCGGAACAUGUCCGGAAGUGGGGGAUAACGUACCGAAAGGUACGCUAAUACCGCAUAUGCCCUGAGGGGGAAAGGGGGGGAUCGCAAGACCUCUCGCUUUCGGAGUGGCCGAUAUCGGAUUAGCUAGUAGGUGAGGUAAAGGCUCACCUAGGCGACGAUCCGUAGCUGGUCUGAGAGGACGACCAGCCACACUGGGACUGAGACACGGCCCAGACUCCUACGGGAGGCAGCAGUGGGGAAUUUUGGACAAUGGGCGCAAGCCUGAUCCAGCCAUGCCGCGUGAGUGAAGAAGGCCUUCGGGUUGUAAAGCUCUUUCAGCUGGAAAGAAAUCGUACUUAUUAAUACUAGGUGCGGAUGACGGUACCAGCAGAAGAAGCACCGGCUAACUACGUGCCAGCAGCCGCCGUAA
rnacentral:rRNA from 1 species